rnacentral:lncRNA from 1 species
GUGCUGGGAUUUUGACUUCUGGUUUGUGGGUUCAGUCCAGCAGAUGGUGUUCUGCUGCAGACACCUACCACCCCUGUCCUCUUCUGCAGUAGUCCCCGAGGCUUUCAAGGAUGUCCUAUUUAGAGCCUGUCAGUUCACAUUCUCUUAUUCUCCGAGGCCGAAUCACUUGUGGAUCUCUGUAUUAAUAUCCAUCUAUUCCAAAUGAAGCUUCCGUGAUGAGAAUUGAGAGAGGCAGUAACCCAUGGGUAUGAAGAUAAGAACUUCACAGUGGGGCAGGUCAUAGUAUUAGAUAGUCCCCUGGGGCUAUGGCCUUGCCAGCCACAGGUGUUUAGCCAGUUAGCAGUGCCAAGCAAGCUUCCAUCUUUUAGAACAGGCUUUAAAUCCAGUCAGAAAUUUGAUGCAUGAUAUUUGUGCAACUCUUGGUCCAGUGGACACACCUUUAUGGGCCAGUCCUUACUGUAGCUCUCAGCCUCCACAGCUGGUUAUGAUUGCUGAACAUUUUCUCCUUCAGUGAUAUAAAUAGAACCUUCUAGAACUGUGAGAGCUAGCAAGUAGGGAUGAAGCUUCCAGGCCAGUGCCAGCAUGAUUUCUUUACAGAUUCUUACAAAACUUGCUGCAGAUAUUGUUCUUGUUUAUCUUGUGUGGUCAGUGAGCUUACAAUCAAAACAUCUCACACCCCACACACACACUGGAUCAGUGAGUUAAAGAAGUAAAAGUUGUAUUUUCUAUUGGAACAUUAAAGUUGUGCAAAGAAAAAUGUAUGUAACCUGGCUCCUUGUUUUAAGUUUUGUUAUUUUAAUAAUAGAAGAAUUUCAGUGGCCAUAAGAUCUCAGUUUGGUGAGUCUGGGCAUGGUGGUAGACAUCUGUAACUCACAACUCUGGAGGCCACAGCAAGAUCUCAAGUUGCAUACCAGCCCAGUUUUACACUAAAGUUCACUGCAUAAACCCAGGGCUAACGACAUAGCUGGCACUAAGAAUAUUCUUUGUCUGUGGUCUCAUAAAGCAUAGGCUGCUGAGCUGUAUGAGCUAGGACAGCCUGGGCUCACAGGGAUGUGUGAGCUGUAUGAGCUAGGACAGCCUGGGCUCACAGGGAUUUGUGGGCCUGUCCUGCUCCUAUGUGGGUGAGCAUUCGAGCCCAGAUCCUCAUGCCCACCCAGCAAGUGCUCAGAUCCAGGGAGCCAUCUCAGCUUUAUAACUUUCUAUUGUUUUGGAUUGUGUUCAUUUGUGUAUGUAUCUCCUUGUGGGCGUGUGCACGUGGAUGCAUAUGUCUGUGGAGGCUGACGGCAUUGGAGUCCCCUGGAGCUGGAAUGACAGUACAACUCAACUCAAUCUUCUUCCGAGCCGUCUCAGCUCCAGGAGUCUGGAUUUUGUGGUAGCAGUGGAACUCUUGAAACCUCUGCCUCCUAGGCUUAUUCUUGACACAGAGGGGAUCUAGUCUAUAUUAGAGGACCAAGGGCUGUGAUUAUCUUUCCUUCCACUCUGAGAAUGAACAAGUCUUUAAAGUGGAGUGUUUGUCAAUCAGAGAAAACAUGGCUACAGUUUAAUAAUGAACAAAUACCGCUUAUAUUACGGUCAUGCACCAACUGCUCCAUAUACCAUUGCUGGAAGGCUAAGGUGACAAAGAACCAACUUGUUGGGCUUCUUCUGGUUUUAAAAGUUUUUUGGGUUUGACUAGAGAGCUAAUCAAACUGGGAACUCUUUAAAGGUUUAAAUCAGAAUUAAAAAACAAACAACAACAAACCCUGAGCUUACGUGGCUGGGUUGUUUUAUUUUCAGCUGUGUACUUUCAGCAAUAAUCAAAUAAAAAUUUUGAUGUAAAAAUU